rnacentral:rRNA from 1 species
GACGAACGCUGGCGGCGUGCUUAACACAUGCAAGUCGAACGGAAAGGCCCCUUUGGGGGUACUCGAGUGGCGAACGGGUGCGUAACACGUGAGUAACCUGCCCUUGACUUCGGGAUAACUUCAGGAAACUGGGGCUAAUACCGGAUAGGAAUCCUUGCUGCAUGGUGGGGGUUGUAAAGCUUCGGCGGUUUUGGAUGGACUCGCGGCUUAUCAGCUUGUUGGUGGGGUAGUGGCUUACCAAGGCUUUGACGGGUAGCCGGACUGAGAGGGCGACCGGCCAUAUUGGGACCGAGAUAAGGCCCAGACUCCUAAGGGAGGCAGAAGGGGGGAAGAUUGAACAAUGGGCGGAGGGCUGAUGAAGCAACGCCGCGUGCGGGAUGACGGCCUUCGGGUUGUAAAACGCUUUCAGCAGGGGCGAAGCUUGUGGUGACGGUACCUGCAGAAGAAGCACCGGCUAACUACGUG